UGGUUAGUCUUAUUCAUUGGCAGGC
rnacentral:piRNA from 1 species